rnacentral:rRNA from 1 species
UGGGGAAUUUUGGACAAUGGGCGAAAGCCUGAUCCAGCAAUGCCGCGUGUGUGAAGAAGGCCUUCGGGUUGUAAAGCACUUUUGUCCGGAAAGAAAUCCUUGGCUCUAAUACAGUCGGGGGAUGACGGUACCGGAAGAAUAAGCACCGGCUAACUACGUGCCAGCAGCCGCGGUAAUACGUAGGGUGCAAGCGUUAAUCGGAAUUACUGGGCGUAAAGCGUGCGCAGGCGGUUUGCUAAGACCGAUGUGAAAUCCCCGGGCUCAACCUGGGAACUGCAUUGGUGACUGGCAGGCUAGAGUAUGGCAGAGGGGGGUAGAAUUCCACGUGUAGCAGUGAAAUGCGUAGAGAUGUGGAGGAAUACCGAUGGCGAAGGCAGCCCCCUGGGCCAAUACUGACGCUCAUGCACGAAAGCGUGGGGAGCAAACAGGAUUAGAUACCCUGGUAGUCCACGCCCUAAACGAUGUCAACUAGUUGUUGGGGAUUCAUUUCCUUAGUAACGUAGCUAACGCGUGAAGUUGACCGCCUGGGGAGUACGUCGCAAGAUUAAAACUUAAAGGAAUUGACGGGGUCAUAGCUGUUUCCU